GGAGGUGUGGCUCAGUGGUAGAGCAGCUUGCUUGGUAUGCAAGAGGCCCUGGGUUUCAUCCCAGUACCACAA
rfam:Ictidomys tridecemlineatus contig074429, whole genome shotgun sequence.